GGUCCCAUGGUCUAGUGGUCAGGACAUUGGACUCUUGAAUCCAGUAACCUGAGUUCAAAUCUUGGUGGGACCU
rnacentral:tRNA from 1 species